ensembl:snoRNA
AUUCUUUCAUGGUUCUUUAUUGAUAUGGUGAUAGGGUUUUCAUAUUCAUGUGUGAGAUGUGCCUCCCUCAGUCUUUGUUAUGACAUCAUUAUGUGUCUGGUAUGACA